ensembl:lncRNA
UGAAGCCAAAAUGGCGACGUGCAUGUUGUCGUCAAAAAUGUCGCCCAUCAUUAGACUUCUACUGAAAGAGCGGUCCUGUUCCUCGACAACGAUAUGUAACGGUGUGACCGACAUUUCCAGACGAGGCUACUCGACAGAUGGAGAUGCUCUCCAGACUGCUGCAGAAGACAGCAAUGCCGCCGCAGCGUACAGCGGACCGCUGGAGCACUACACCAGUCUGCUCAUGGACUGGGCGCUGCGAGAGGACCCGCAUCAGAAAGCCGUGGUUCAGACCUCGGAUAAAAUGCACAAAACCCUACGAGGUUACAGCAACCAGCUUCGGUUCUCGAAAAACAUUGUCCUUGUCAACCAAUUACUUAGUAUUAGUGGGAAUCUAUUCACCCUGAGAGAAUUAAUGGAAAGAUACAACUUUGAGGUUUCAAGCAAGGAAUAUGACACUGUUAUAAAAUCUAUACCUUGUGGGAUAAAAUAUUUACUUCAGAAUAAUGCAUAUCUAUAUCUAUUGAUGAAUAGCAUAGGGUUACUAGAUAAGAACUUCAACAAUUGUUUAUUAAGGGAUAUUUUCUACAGGAAUUAUAUCCCCUCUGCUAUAUUUUGUUGGACUUCAUCAUUUGAUGUAAACUGGCACCUUGCUUGGCUCACUCCAACAAAGGUAUGGUGACCAUUAAAGUAAAGGAGUUCUCCUUUAAGAUUAUCCAUUGAUUCUACCCGUGUAAUAGCUUGAUUUCUAAAUAUAUACCUAAUACCAGUGAAUAAAGUUAGCUAGAUACUGAAUCUGUUGAACACUUAUUCUGUCAUUGUUUCAUAGUGAGGUGUUCCGGACUGAUGAAAAACUAUAUCUUGGAAACAUAAUGCAUUCAACCAUUGAAAUAUCUAAGUUUGACAUAUUGUUUUACUACAGUGUUUCCGCAAUUACGUGUCAGUAUGUUAUAAAUAUCUUUAUUUUAUUAGGAACAUUUUUCAUACACAAAUUAUUUCAUGAAGAAAAAGCCCAUUUUAUUUUUGUAUCUGAUUUGGAGAACUAUUUCAAAUCAUUCAAACGUAUAUAAAAUGUUUUAAAAAAUGUAUUCGCUACAUGUCGGUAUUUGAUAUGUGGAUUUGUAUUUAGUUUUCUGUCUUUUGUGUAAUUCCUCUGGCUGUUCUGUUUUGCAUGUUACUGUUUAAUAAAAUUAUAAAUACAGCA